rnacentral:tRNA from 1 species
GGAGGGAUUCCCGAGUGGCUAAAGGGGGCAGACUGUAAAUCUGUUGGCACCGCCUUCGAAGGUUCGAAUCCUUCUCCCUCCA